CCUACGGGGGGCAGCAGUGAGGAAUCUUGGUCAAUGGACGAGAGUCUGAACCAGCCAAGUAGCGUGAAUGAUGACUGCCCUAUGGGUUGUAAACUUCUUUUAUAUGGGAAUAAAACGUUCCACGUGUGGGAUUUUGUAUGUACUUUACGAAUAAGGAUCGGCUAACUCCGUGCCAGCAGCCGCGGUAAUACGGAGGAUCCGUGCGUUAUCCGGAUUGAUUGGGUUUAAAGGGAGCGUAGAUGGGUUGUUAAGUUAGUUGUGAAAGUUUGCGGCUCAACCGUGGAAUUGCAAUGGAUACUGGCAGCCUUGAGUGCAGUUGAGGAAGGCGGAAUUCGAGGUGUAGCGGUGAAAUGCGUAGAGAUCACGAAGAACUCCGAUUGCGAAGGCAGCCUACUAAACUGCCACUGACAUUGACGCGCGAAAGUGUGGGUAUCAAACAGGAUUAGAUACCCGAGUAGUC
rnacentral:rRNA from 1 species